rnacentral:rRNA from 1 species
UACAGAGGGUGCAAGCGUUGUUCGGAAUUACUGGGCGUAAAGCGCGCGCAGGCGGUCCUUCAAGUCAGAGGUGAAAGCCCAGAGCUCAACUCUGGAACGGCCUUUGAGACUAGAGGACUUGGGUACGGGAGAGGUGAGUGGAAUUCCGAGUGUAGAGGUGAAAUUCGUAGAUAUUCGGAAGAACACCAGUGGCGAAGGCGACUUACUGGACACAUAUUGACGCUGAGGUGCGAAAGCGUGGGGAGCAAACAGG